rnacentral:misc_RNA from 1 species
UGCAUGGAAGGAUGUGGGAUGUUAUGCAUAGAAAUAGUUGCGUGAAGGAAGAUAAAAAAAAAAAAACUGCCACACUAUGAGCUGAAAACGAACGUAACUUUUCGAACUCGCCAAUUAUCCGGUGCUUCGCUUCAUCCGUUUCGUUCGUUUUCAGUUCACUUUGUGACGCUGUUUCUUCAUAAAUAAGUGUAAACAUAUCCUUACAGUGAUAGAAGGUGGAAUUGACAUGCGGAGGCUUCCUCAUAAUGCUCUCUCUUGAUGCAAUAUCAUGAUGUGAAUUAUCUUCGUCUCAUAUUUCCAGGAACCUGGGACAAUUUUAAAUAAUUGUCAUUUUCAAAUACAGCGUCCGUCAUCCUGCCGGCGCGCGACCACCCACGGGCCGCCCUCAGCCAGCCCUGCCUCCGGCGGGAGCGCUGCGCGGGGCUCCGCCAGCCGACGUGGCGCGUGUUGGUCGCCACGGUGCGCCCGCCCUCCGUCUGCUCACACACUGUCACGCCCUCGCUCUCCAAAGGUUUGAGUGCCCGAGGACGCGGUGCGCUGCUUCCUUCCCCAGGGCACAGGGAAGGUUCGGCAGCCCACGGGAAGGCGCGGAAUGGCCACUACGGGCGUUUGGCAGGCCUUGGAUUCGCAUGUGUUCCUUGCACUCUUGA